AGCCUCUCAAUGCUUACCACAGGCUGUGUUCUUUACACUGACUGUAUAGAAAGAGGAGGUACAUAUACACCUCCCCAUAUACACCUCAAACCAGGCCCUUUGCCUGGUCUGUAUUGUGAAUGGAGGGACAAAA